UACUCAGUACGUAACAAAGAUUAAUUAAAUACAAAUAUCUUUGCAACGUAUCUGGGUUUAC
rnacentral:pre_miRNA from 1 species